GGAGGAGAAGCAGGCGCUGCGGCCACACGGACCUCUGAGAGCCGCGAUCUGGGCACGGGGACUGGCGCGGGCCGGCCCUGGGCGGCGAGAGGCGAGAAGACUUGCUAUGGAGCCUUCCAGAAUUCACAGGGCUUUGUAAAGGCCCAAGGGCCCGGUGGUUAUGAGCACCUGCAAGGCUGAGUUGCGAAGAGGAAACCCUCGCCAAACCGGGUGUAUUCACUCACUCACUCACUCAUUCCUUCAUUCCUUCACUCAAGAAUAGUGUCCAAGUUCCUACCACGUGCUGCGGGCAGAGCCAAGCGAGAUCCUUGCCUCCAGGAACAUGCGGCCGGCGGCGACAGUAGCAGCCUGUGGGAGCUCUGCCUGCCCCGCGCCCGUCGCGCCUCUCUCGGCGAGUCGCCUUCUCCUCAAUCCCUUCCACCUGGUCUGUGCGCCGCUGACCCAUCCCCCGACUCCCAACCUGACCAGUCCUGGCUCAGGCAGGGUUAUCUGUCCCCCUCUGGGCCAAGAUAAGUCAAGAAAAAAGAAAACAGAGGGAUGAACCUGUGCGUUGAUUGCUGCCUGAAGCCUUUGUCCAGGUGCCCCAUUCCGCCUGGAAUGCCAUUCCUGCCGCAAGGACGUGGGGCUCCUCCGUGCCCUUGCCAGCCUUGCUUCUUUUGAGGCUCUCUGGACCCCGAGGUCCAGCCGCCUGGACCUCUGUGCAGUGCCUGAACACAUCAAGCUGGCUCCAGCCUCAGGGCCCCUGCGCUCCCCUCUGCCUGCCGCUCUUCCCUCGGCUACUCCAGAGGCAGGCCCUCUGUCCCUUCACCCUGCAGCUCAUGGAUCGAACAUUGAUGCAGAGCCUCAGAAGAGCUGUUCCAGGCCACACAAUCUAGAGAAGUCCCUCAGCCACUGCCCAGCAUGUCUCUCUGUUUUAUUUCCUUCAUGGCGCUCACUUGUAUCUGACAUUUUCUGCCUCGUUAUGUGUUUAUUUUCUGUCUCUCCCACUAGACGACAAGCUCUUUGAGGGCUUGUACUCACAGUUGUAUCCCCAAUACACAGUGAGAGCACAGAGUAGGUGCUAAGUGCUUGUUGAGUGGCUUAACGUCCACCUGCCAGGGUGAACCAAGACUGAAGGGACCUGUCCUGUUGAGGAGCCCUGUAGCUCAUUCUCAGGAGUUGUCCCGUUGUUCUUUCUUCUUCAGCCACCAGCUCUCCUCACUGGCCCUCAUGGACACUGACCUUCUUGAUUCACGAGCUUCCAACAAGGUAUUCGUCUUUCUUCUCAAGGGAACCCCUUUUAUACUUUAGGAGGUUCCUACUAAAAUGGCACAUCUUCAGGGCAGCUUUCUGCAACCACACACCCACUGGGACAGAUCGCCUUGUUACAGGCCAUAGAGGGGCCUUUAAUUUUCCUUCAUGCAUCCCCCUCCAUUGCAGUUUUAUCACCUCUUCUGGGACGAUUUGAUUGACAUGUCUCCCCCACUAGAACAUGAGGGCGAAGACUAUCUUAGUCCCGGAAUUCCCCAACACCUGGUGAGGUGCCUCCGUUUAGAGGGUGCUCAAUAAAAUGUGUAGAAUAGUGAUGUGUCAGGGGCCUGGAAUGCGGAAGUGGCGUGAGGGGAACUUGGCAGCUGGGGUAGAGAGGGCAGAAUGACAGGUGACGGGAGCCGCUGCAAGAAUGGCUUGGAGACUGGACACCCCAAAAAGCUGUUAGGAAAGCAGAGAAGAAACCAUAGUCUUAGGAGGUGUCUGCGGCGGGAGAGGAGGGAAGUUUAAGCUGAAACUUUCCUAAUGCUGCCACCUGCAAUAACGUGGAAAGCAGAAAAUGUGCCACAUGAACUGGGCGAUCUGGCUGAAGGAACUCCCAGGCAGAAUGUUGAAGGUGCCUCCUGGCUUCUUCUUGCUGCUUGUUGUAAAAUGUGAGAGAAGAGAGAUAAGCCAAAAGAAGGACUUUGAAAUGGAAAGGAACCAGAACUUGCUGGUUUUGAAAAUUACCAGCUUUUCCAGAUGUUAAAUGAUGCUAAAAUUAACAACAGCUUCCAAGCAAAGAUGUCAUGCAGGGCCACACCAGGAAAUGAUGGUCUAAAGAUGAAGCCAAGGGUGUGGCUGCAAAAUCCUUUGUUAAAUUCUCAAAAAAAUAAAAACUGACGCCUCAGAAUAUUCGGUUAAACAGUAGGACUUCCAGGAAGCUUAAAGUUGUCAUUCAGCAAAAGCCCAAGGUAGAGAAGGGCUUAUCUCAAAGAGAUGCGUGGAUUUGCCAGUAGUUUAAAGGAGUGAACCUCAGUAAGAUUCACAGAAAAUAUCUAAACCCUUUAAAAGAAUUAUAUCGGCAAAACAGUGCCAGCUAGGACUGAAAGGAUCAGAGAGAGUACAAAAUGGAAAGAGGCCUCUGGAACUGCCCUUCCCCCGAAUUCUACUGACAAGAGCAGCCUGAGAAAGCACACAGAUGCAGUGUGGGCUCCAGUGCAUGGAAAUGGAAGCAUGACUUGGAGAACAGAACCAAGAAUCCAGAGGGUGGGACCGUGAGCAGGGAGGGCCACUCUCAGGCCAGAGUCAGACUGAGUUCUAAUCAAGAGUUCCAACAUCUGCCAGCUGGAUUUCAGAACUGCAAUGGACCAGUGACAGCUGUGUGCCUCCCAUCCCUGUCCCCUUUGAACAGGAAUACCUGUAGUGGUCAUGCUAUGCCUGUCCCACCAUUGUAUGUUGGGUGUGGCAGGGGGGCAGGGGUACAGAGAACUUGUCCCUUGAAUUCACAGGUCCUCAGAUUGAGAGCGACUGUACUCAAGGAGUUACACUGAAGGAAAUAUGCCCAAGGAGCCUCCCACAUUGGAAUCUGAUUUAGAUGCAGAGAUUCUGGAUUUUGAGCUCAUUCUAUAGCAGGAUGGGUGUUUUGGGGGCGUUUGGAAGAUCGCCUAUGUUUUGCAUGUGGGAGGAUUGUAAACAAUUUGUGGCUGCUGCGUGGACUGUGACAGUUUAAAAGCCCUUUGACACCCCCGCCCUUCAAGAGGAGGAGGACAAUUGCUUGAGCCCUUGAGAGUGGCUGGACUCAGUGACCCGCUUCUAACAAAUGCAGUGUGGUGGAAGUGACAGCGUGUGACUUCUGAGUCUAUCCUUUCAUGGAUCAGAUAGAGAAAUGGGGCCUGAGGUCUGAGAGCGGCAGAAUUAUGUGACAUUCUCUGAGUGUGUCAUCAUGCCCCGACCUCUGCCUGGGCAGCUCCUGUGCUAGGAAGGCCCGCGCUUCAUCUUCCCAGCCUUGCUUGUGCUUGGCUUGGGCAUUCCCCAGCCCUCCCCCUUGGGAAUGUCCGCAUUCGCAGCACAGAUCACUCUAAUAUACCUUGGCAUAGGCUCGUCUGCCUCUUUCUCUCAACUACAAGCCUCAGAGGCAGGGACAAGCCCUGCUGCAUCUGGUACCCCAGAGGCCUUCAUGGACCCUGCCUUGGAAGAGCUACCACUGAGUGAGCAUGGAUGGAGGAUGCGCCCGACAGAGGCAGCCUCUCCCUGCGCUUUCUGCAGUCCCCUGAGGGGCCGGGUGGGGAGUGGGUGCUUGCACAGGCCUGCAUUGUGGGUGAGGGGUGGGGCUACUGCACCAGUCCAGGGGCAGUUCAGAGGGUGAGUCUGGCUCAGGUCCACCUCAGAGGGUCAGAUGGACAGAGCCAUGGACUCGCUUUCCGUUGUGUAAGGAUGAUUCAGCUUGCCCUUUGGGAACUCAAUAACCGGAUGCCGUGUGUACACUGCUAAGGAAACACGGACUUGGCAGAUUCAGGGCCUUUGGGAAAUCAAAGAGAGCAGGGCAUGUGACCUGAACUUUCUUUUCAAACUGGGGACAGUGUUCCCCUUUGCUCAACUCUUGAGGUCUCCUGUUCAGAUGCAAAGUGAGACCAUCCCACGCUUCUACCCUACCUUGUGAAUCAGUCAUGCUGUCAUCUGAUAUCCCAUCCUGUAGAACCUCUGCCCAGUGGGAACCAAGAAUUCAGGAGAGUUUUCCUCAAUAUCCCCUAUAAAAGUAGGCAAUAUGUGAUUCUAUGUAUUGUCUUAGUCUGUUCAGGCUGCCAUAAGACACUACCGUAGACCGGGUGGCUUAUAAACAACAGAAACUCAUCUCUCACAGUCCUAGAGCUGGAGGUCCGAGGUCAGGAUGCCAGUGUUGUCGGAGGAGAGCCCUCUUCUGGAUCAGAGACUUCUCAUUGUAUCCUCACAUGGCAGAAGGGUCAGGGAUCUCUGUGGGGUCUCUUUUAAGGGCACUAAUCCCCUUUAUAAGGGCUCUACCCUCAUGACCUAAGCACCUUCCCAAACCCCCACCUCAUAAUACCAUCAUCUUUGGGGGUUAGGUUAUAAGGUAUAAAUUUAGGGGAACACAAACAUUCAGACCAUAACACAGAUAGAGGUGAAAUACGAGUUAGCCUUAAUGCGGCUCCGGGCCUUGAACUGGGACCCACCUGAGGACCUGGAAAUAUAAACAAAAAUGUUUCUGAGGAGCUAGGCUAAUGGUCGGGAAGGUCACAGCCCUUCUCCUACGAGGCCUCACGUAAGGGCCUUUGGCCUCUGUGUGAAAUCAGACCUGGGGGUUGUUUCAUGUUUGUAUCCUCAGUACCUGGGACAACACCUGGCCCGCGGACAGCCACCAGGAACUCACUGCAGGGGGAUAAAUGAGAAAGGGGAGGGUCAGGUGCUUGUAGCCCCCUCGGGGAGACGAACAUGCAGGAACAGCAGAAGUCAAGGAUGGAGAAGUGGUGGGAACCACGAGGGGGGACUUUAGGGGGGGCCUGGGCUGCAUCAGGCUUCCUUGGGAGGACAUGGCCUGGCAAGACUAGGAUGAGGUUAAUUAGGAAAAUGUAGAAAGAUUCUAUAGGGAGAGAAAAGUAAGAAUGAAUGUGAGGGUACGUGGAGGUAGGGACCUGUGGGUGGUGUCUAAGGAAUAAUGAGAAAACAUGACCCACCACACACUCGUCAAGAGGAGCUGGAAAGGGCCAGGGUCACGAGGACCUGCAACAUGGCACCAGGAGGCUGCAUUCCACUGUGAGGUCCAGCGGGAGCCAGACACGUGAGUUCAUAGGCCAGGGCCACUUCAGAAGUGUUUGGGUAACUGCCGUUGGAUUGCUCACUUUUUGUUUUGCAAAGUAAGGACAUCCAGAAAAUCAAUUUCCUGGAAACUUCAGCCUUAAAAAAGAAGGAAGUUCUGACACAUGCUACAACAUGGAUGAAUCUUGAGGAUGUCCUGGUCAGCGAAAUAAGUCAGUCACUAAAAGAUAAAUACUGUAUGAUCCCACUCAUAUGAGGCCCCUAGAGAAGUCGAAUUCAUAGAGACAGAAAGUGGAAUGGUGAUUGCCAGGGGCUGGGGGAGGGGGUGGGGAGUUGGUGUUUAAUGGGGAUGAGCUUCGGUUUGGGAAGACGGAAGAAUUCUGCAAAUGGAUGGCGGUGGUGGCUGCACACAAUGUGAAUGUACUAAAUGCCAAUGAACUGUGCGCUUAAAAGUGGUUAAUAUGGUCAACUUUGCAUUAUUUUAUCAUGAUCCAUUUUUAAAAAAUCAAUUUCUACCAGCCAUCAUCAUAAUUUCACAGAGAAAGACCAUUCAGCACAAAAAAAGCUUAAAGGGGCAGUUGGGCCUGCCAUCUUGCAAGCAGUGCUCUGGGCUCUGAAGAGCUCCAGUGUCUGCACGUGAGAAACAUGAGGUGCAGAGAUGGGAAGCAGGAGCCCAGCGAGAGGGAGGCGGCACUGGUCCGAGGGAGCGCAGGUGGUGCCCAGGGUCAGCGACAGCAGAGCUGUUACCACUUCCAGGCCUUAAGGGGUUGUGGGGAAGGCGAGGGAGCACUUACCACACCCAGAGGAGAGCGGCGUGGACAGAGGGCUGUUUGAGAGGAGCAGUGAACUUGGGCAAGGACAUAGUCCAGCCACAAGGGGCGGCCAGGGCAAUAAAUCCCCGUCUCACUCUCCUUCUCUCUGGUCUCCUUCUGGGACUCUCUAACAGCUAAACCCAAAUGGAAGUCAGAGGCCAAGAAGCCAGUGGGUGCUGUCCUUGGAGGUCAGACUCCAGAGCAGCAAGCAGCAAGGGAAGGAGGAGAGCGGACCUGGAGAGACCAAUGGAAGAGCUUGUACCGUCCAGUGAGGAGAGAGCCCACUCAAGUUCAAUGGAGGGAACUUACUAUGAAGCAGUAGUUACGAAAGAGCUAGAAGAGCUGAGGAUGCAAACAGGAAAUGAUGAGGCAACCUAGAGACCAGCAGCAGACGGCAAGCUGACACCACCCUAAGGCCAGAGGGAUGAAGGGAAGAUGAGAUCACAGAUGGCUUUCAUGUUACCAAAUGAAAGCACAUGCUUUCCUUCCCAUCUGGACCCCUCCGCAGUGGUCAGCACUGUUGGCUCCCUGUGUCAAUCCUGUGCCUGGUUGCUCAAAACGUUUGCCCUGCUGUGCUCUGUAUUGCACAAUUCUGAAGUCAGAGUCACCCAGCAGGAGAAAAAAACAUAAAAGAGGACCACUCAAGAACUGGGACCUAUCUGGGAUCACGGAAGAGACACAGCUACUCCUGGAGCUGCUGCCUGAAGUAGAAAUAGAGGGAAACACCCCGGCUUCGGCUGUUCUCUUCUCAUCUCCCACCAGGGCUUCCCAAUGCCUUAGCCAACUGGAAGUCACUCGCUUGGCAAGGGAGCCUGAGAAAUGUGGUUUGCUGGGGUCAGGCACCUGCAAUAUGGAGCAGAGGGGGGCGAGCAAGGAACAGAGCUGCAAGCAACCAGGCACAUGGCUCACACAGGAGGCCAAGAGCAUUGUCUGUUAUGAAGAGAUCCCGAUGGGAAAGAAAGUGUGUGCAGUAGGUCUGGCAGCAUGGAAGGCAUCGGCCCUCAGUGAGCGCUGUGUCUGGAGUGAUGGGAGUACAGCCAGCUUGGAGAGAGUGAAAAGUGAGACCAUCUGCUCAGUAUAAAAUGUGAAAUAAUCCAGAAAUGGAUAAAGAAAAAGGUAAUAUUCCUCCCCACACACACGCACACCCACUCCCUUUGGACUUCCCCGAGGUAACUGAUACUACGAUUGUUUAUGUUACAAAAUUGGAGUCAUGUUGCUAUGGUUGCCACUCUGCAAUGCCUUUUCUCCUUCAAAAAUGCAUCACAGAUGUCCCUAAAAGUCAGCAGACAGGGAAUCUAACUCAUUUUCCCCAUGAAGCAAUUUCGUAGGAACUGUGUGAUGUCUUUCUUAUCGCUGUAGGGCCAUUGUGGAGUCCUUCACACGCUUUUCCAGAGUUCAUCGUCCUCACAUCGUGAGAUACAGCAGCCUUAAAAUCUGUGAUGUCACCAGAAAAUACAUCCUAAGCCACAGGAACCCACUUGCGUCUCAUUGAUAGGUUUUAAAAAAUCCUUCUGCAAAUGUAUAUUCAUAAUUUGUAGAAAAAUAUUGUAGAAUGCUACUAAUUAUUGUAUUCUUUUUCAAGUGCCCUUUAAAAGGCUUGCUGAGUUCAACAGUUAAAAUUGUGUUGGCUUUAGGAAUAUUUACUAAAUGUGUGUUAUAUUUCUUUGUCUCCUUUUGGUUAAAUUUUUAUUAUGGAACAUUUUAAACAUAUACAAAAUUAGAGAAAAUGUGUAAUAAAAUCUCAUGUCCCCAUAAUCUCACUCCAAAAAUUAUCAAUUCAUGGUUAAUUUUGUUUACCUAUACCCAUUUUCUCCUCCCCAACAUUAGCUUAUUUUGAAGCAAACCCAGACAUCAUGUCAUCUCAUGUGUAGUAUUUCAGUAUGUAUCUCUGAAAAAUAAAAUUAUUUUUAAGAAACAGCCACAAUAUAUCACACCUAAAAAAAUUAAUAGUAAUUUCCUAUUACCGUCAAACAUGCAGUGUGUGUUGUAAUUCCCCCGACUGUACAUUUAGCAGGUCUGAACCAGGUCCACACACUGCCAUUUGCUGAUACGUCCCUCUUAACCUCUCUCUCUCCCUUUCCCUCUCUCUCCCUCUC